AAAGACAAAGUAAAUACAGACUACAUUAGCAGCGUGCAGAGUAAGUAAGAAGGAUAGGUGUUUGAGAUAAAGAGAAGAGAACGAGCACCAGAUCACGAAACUGUGAAAUGGUGCGUCCGAGUGGACUCGAACCACCGACCCCCACCA
rnacentral:antisense_RNA from 1 species